AUUGAACGCUGGCGGCAUGCUUUACACAUGCAAGUCGGACGGCAGCGCAGAGAAGCUUGCUUCUUGGGUGGCGAGUGGCGAACGGGUGAGUAACAUAUCGGAACGUACCGAGCAGUGGGGGAUAACUAAUCGAAAGAUUAGCUAAUACCGCAUAUUUUCUGAGGAAGAAAGCAGGGGACCUUUGGGCCUUGCGCUGUUUGAGCGGCCGAUAUCUGAUUAGCUAGUUGGUGGGGUAAAGGCCUACCAAGGCGACGAUCAGUAGCGGGUCUGAGAGGAUGAUCCGCCACACUGGGACUGAGACACGGCCCAGACUCCUACGGGAGGCAGCAGUGGGGAAUUUUGGACAAUGGGCGCAAGCCUGAUCCAGCCAUGCCGCGUGUCUGAAGAAGGCCUUCGGGUUGUAAAGGACUUUUGUCAGGGAAGAAAAGGGCGGGGUUAAUACCCCUGUCUGAUGACGGUACCUGAAGAAUAAGCACCGGCUAACUACGUG
rnacentral:rRNA from 1 species